rnacentral:lncRNA from 1 species
UUAGUGAGGCCCUGUCUCCAAAAAUAAAAAGUUCUGGGAUGUGACUCAGUGUAAAGUACCCCUGGGUUCAAUUUCCCAAUACUCCCUCCCCUUCAAUAAAAAGAAGCUGAGAGAGAGAGGAAGGGGCUGCAGGAUGAACAACUCUGCCAGGGCAUGCGUACAGUGACACACCUCAUCCAGCCAUAUCCCACUUGCUUACAGAUACCACCCAGGGAGUCCAUUCAAACUAGGAUGGACUGAUUAGAUUGCAGCUCUCAUAAAGUACUCUUUUCCACCUCUGAAUAGUUUUGUAUAACAGGAGCUUCUGGGGGACAUCUCAUAUCCAUACCCUAAUAUCUACCCCUGUUCCCAAAUAGCUCAUGUCCUUCUUACAGUACAAAAUGCAUUCAGUUCAUCUCCAAGAGUCCCAUAGACUUAAUGCCUCUGGCACUACCCUAAAGUUCAGUCUACAUCCAAUAUCUUCUCUGAGAUUCAAGGCAAACUCUCAGAUGUCAGCCCCUGUAAAAAAUCCAAAACGGAUUACAUUAUAUCCAAUAUAUAGUGUCACAAAAUAAACAUUGCCAUUUGAAAAGGGAGGAAUAAGGGCAUAGGUAGAAGAGUUGGGGCCAAAGCAAGACUGAAACCCCACUGGGCAAACAGGUCCCUUAAUUCCACAUAGAGCAUCUAGCAUGCUUGGAUACAAAAUGAUAUUUUCAAAGGACUUGGGCAGCACUGCCCCUUUGUCCUUGCUGGUUUCACUGCAAAUGGGCUCUCUUUAACCUGGGUCUCUGCAGCCCCCGGGUUUUCUUGGCAGACCAUCCACGUGGUUGGCAUCUCUUAAUUCAUAGGGUCUUCAUUCCAGUUUCAGCUUCACAUUUACAACUUCAUGAAUCAGCCUCCUGAACGUAGCCUGCAGGGAAUCCAACCCUGCAACAUUUUGCCUUGCUUCCCAGGCAUUCCUUUGAAAUCUCAGUGGAAGCCUCCAUGACCCCUUAACUCAAGUAUUUUGAAUUCCAGUAGAACCAACAUCAUGUGGAAGAC